rnacentral:lncRNA from 1 species
ACCUGCGCGGGCGGCCGCAGGCUCUCUCCGGGACGGGACGGGACGGAAGCCCCAGCCCGCGGGCGGCGGGCGGAGUUAGUUGGAGGCUCCGGUUCCCUGGGCGGGCACAGGCUGAGCACGAGGCCGCCGUGGCUGCCCGGCUCCCUCCUCCCCGGUCACGCUCCGGGCUCCGGGACCUCCCGGUCCCUCCCCCUGGGGCGGCUCCCGGCUGCGCCCCAGCCUCCGCUCCGCCUCCAGCCCUCCCUGCCAGCCCAGCGCCCGGGAAGCGCGUGCCGGGUGUCCGGUGCGAGCCCGAGGGGCUGCGAGUCACCUGAGGAUCCCCCGAGAGCCUGGAGACGGCCAGGCCCGAACGUCUCUGGGGACGCGACGGAGUCCUGGGUCCUUUCAGGCCGGCUCGGUGCGGUGGCCGAGCCAGCUGCGUGGAGAGAGGCGGAGGACGUUGUUCCAGCUGCUCUCUGCCCGGCUCCGGGUUCCAAGGAUGUUUCCUGAGUAAACGGGGACCCCCCCCCCUCCUCUGCGCCCUCCGGGUUGGGGCUCUGCCAGGCCCUGUACACCGGGAGAUAGGACACUUGGAUUCGAACCCGUAGCAGAGGUGUAAUUUCAUUCGAAGUUACCUCCCCAGCCAGGUCCCCGAAUUUGGGCCACACGCUUAGGCUGCAGGCGGCUUUCGGGCCAGUACCCUAAGACCAGAGACUUUCAACUCCUGACUUCUCACCUCCACCUGCUCCUCAAGAUCAGUCAGUUUUGGUGUGCAGAGUCCUGUGCCAGCCACUAAAGUAAGCACACAGGCAGACCUGGUGCUGGAGAAGUUGCUGAGAGUCGAACAUCUUGACCUUCAAUCAACAGGAAGAAAACUGAGACAUGUUUGUAGAAAUCUAUUAAGGCAACAAUAGAGAAAUGCAAUCCAGAAUCUACUAUGAGCACUGUGGUCCAUGCCUCUUCACCUUUGGCUCUCAGCACCUCAUGUGGGAUUAACGUUAACAACAGUGAAAAGACGACCAAAGGAGCAUCUCAAGGACAGAAGUACUGAGCCAUGAGGUUUCUUAUUGUGCAGUUUUACCAGCCCGGACUGAACAGCAUUUAUCAUGGAUGAUUGAAGAGGGAAUCAAAGGUUACCUGGUGGCUUGGACCUGUUCAUCACCGCUGUCCCUCACAACAUCUGGUUCUGUGUGACUUACCAUGAAAGAUCAUCUUAGAAAACUCUAUAGUUCUGAUGUCAACAUUUCUGUCCUUUAUUCUCACUGGAGACUGGCAGGAACACGAAUACUAGUCUAAUUAGAUACCUUCCUGUCUUCCAAAUUCAUUGUUCCUGC